GAUGAACGCUGGCGGCGUGCCUAAUACAUGCAAGUCGAGCGAACAGACGAGGAGCUUGCUCCUCUGACGUUAGCGGCGGACGGGUGAGUAACACGUGGAUAACCUACCUAUAAGACUGGGAUAACUUCGGGAAACCGGAGCUAAUACCGGAUAAUAUAUUGAACCGCAUGGUUCAAUAGUGAAAGACGGUUUUGCUGUCACUUAUAGAUGGAUCCGCGCCGCAUUAGCUAGUUGGUAAGGUAACGGCUUACCAAGGCAACGAUGCGUAGCCGACCUGAGAGGGUGAUAGGCCACACUGGAACUGGGACACGGUCCAGACUCCUACGGGAGGCAGCAGUAGGGAAUCGUACGCAAUGGGCGAAAGCCUGACGGAGCAACGCCGCGUGAGUGAUGAAGGUCUUCGGAUCGUAAAACUCUGUUAUUAGGGAAGAACAAAUGUGUAAGUAACUAUGCACGUCUUGACGGUACCUAAUCAGAAAGCCACGGCUAACUACGUG
rnacentral:rRNA from 1 species